rnacentral:misc_RNA from 1 species
GAUGAAGGACGUAGUGAAAUGCGAUAAUUAAUGUGAAUUGCAGAAUUCAGUGAAUCAUCGAGUCUUUGAACGCACAUUGCGCCCCCUGGUAUUCCGGGGGGCAUGCCUGUCCGAGCGUCAUUGCUGCCCUCAAGCACGGCUUGUGUGUUGGGCUUCCGUCCCUGGCAACGGGGACGGGCCCAAAAGGCAGUGGCGGCACCAUGUCUGGUCCUCGAGCGUAUGGGGCUUUGUCACCCGCUCCCGUAGGUCCAGCUGGCAGCUAGCCUCGCAACCAAUCUUUUUAACCAGGUUGACCUCGGAUCAGGUAGGGAUACCCGCUGAACUUAAGCAUAUCAAUAAGCGGAGGA